AUGUGACAGUGAUUGUGUGUACGUGAUGACAUGAUUAUAUCACACGAGAUUGUAACACUUGCCUUGCUGGCAUCUCUCACUCUCUUGCUGGCUUUGAAGAAGCAAGCUGCCAUGUUGUGGCUGCCUUUGUUGGAAGGUGAUGUGGCAAGGAACUGAGGACGGCCUCUAGGAGCUGAGGAUGGACUCCAGCUGACAGCCAGCAAGACACAGAAGCCUUCCAUCCUAAAGCUGUAAGGAACGGAAUCCUGCUAACAAAAGUGAUCCUUCCCCAGACGAGCCUCAGAUGAGGUGGAGCCCCGACCGACACCUUGAUUGCAGCCUUGUGAGACCCUACGCAGAGGACCCAGUCUGUGCCCAGACUCCUGACCCACAGAAACUGAGAAAACUGUGAGAUGCUGUUGGUAUCAUAAAGGCUUAUGGGAGCAUCCUACAAAGAGAAAAGGCUCAUGGCACAGAGCAAAGAGCCCAGAUCAAGACAUUGGCUUGCUCACGAAGUGGACUCACUUGGUAGAAUCCAGGUGAGGUCCUCUGCUCAGGGAUUCGCAAGGCUGAAGUCAAGGUGUUGGCCAGUCUGCGUUCUCAUCUGGACGCUCGGGGGAAGAAUGUGCUUCCAACUUCAUUCAGGUGCUGGCAGAAUUCAGCUCCCAGCAGCUGUGUGAUUCAGGUCCCCGUUUUCUUGCUGGCUGUUGGAUGGGACUGCUUUUGGCUCCUAGAGGGUGCUCCCAGCUCCUCACCAUGUGGCCACCUCCACUGGCCGUUCGCAACAUGGCAGUUCACUCUUUAAGGCCAGCAAGAGAAUCUCUUUCCCUGUCAGCUGAAAUGAAGUCUUAUAUAACCUAAUCAUGACAUUAACAAACCCCCACCUUUGUCUUAUUAUGUAACCUCAUCACAGGAAUGGCACUCUAUCAUAUUCACAGGUCCUGUCCACUCUCAAGAGGAAGGAAUUACAUAGGAUGUGUAUACCAGCGGGCAGAACUCUGGGGGGCCAUCUUAGAAUUCUGCCUACCACGGGGCUGUGGGAUUAAAUAAGAUACUGUGUGUAAAACGCUUAGCUCAGUGCCUGGCCCAGAGAAAGACGCAAUAAGUGGUAGUCAUAGUCACCACCAUCAAUACGCAUAGUAGACAAAAUAAUGGCCCCCCAAAGAUGUCCUUGGAAUCUGUCAAUAUGUUAUGCUACGUGGCAAAGAAAAUGAAGGCUGCAGACGGAAUCAAGCUGGCUAAUCAGCUGACCUUAAAAUCGGGAAAUCAUCCUGGAUUUGCUCCUUAUGGAACCACAAGGGUCCUUCAAAGUGGAAGAGUGAGGCAGAAGAAGAGUCAGAACCAGAGAGAUGGCAGCAUGAAAAGACUUGGCCCAACGUUGCUGGCUUUCAAAAUGGAAGAAGAGGACCACGAGCCAAGGAAUGUGGGCGGCAAGGAAUGUGGCCAAGCUGGAAGGGGAGAGGAAUAGAUUUUCCCCUGGAGCCUCCAGGAAAGAAUGCAAGCCUGCUGUCACCUUGACUGUAGCCCGGCGAGACCUGUUUCAGACUUUGGACGUCCAGAACUGUAAGAUAAUAAAUGUGUGUUGUUUUAA